rnacentral:RNase_P_RNA from 1 species
GACAGUCGCCGCUUCGUCGUCGUCCUCCUUCGGGGGGAGACGGGCGGAGGGGAGGAAAGUCCGGGCUCCAUAGGGCAAGGUGCCAGGUAACGCCUGGGGGGUGUCACAGCCCACGACCAGUGCAACAGAGAGCAAACCGCCGAUGGCCCGCGUAAGCGGGAUCAGGUAAGGGUGAAAGGGUGCGGUAAGAGCGCACCGCGCGGCUGGUAACAGUCCGCGGCACGGUAAACUCCACCCGGAGCAAGGCCAAAUAGGGGUUCAUAAGGUACGGCCCGUACUGAACCCGGGUAGGCUGCUUGAGCCAGUGAGCGAUUGGCCUUUAAAGGUGAAAAUGUGACACAGACUGUGAUACAGAAGAGGCACACCAACGGUUGUUCCAU